AAGACUUUAAACAUUUUUUAUCGCAUAUAUAAACAGAUAUAUACCUUAAAUUAUAUUCGUUAACGGUAGAGAAAAAAAUUAAAACAUAAAAUUAGUUGUCAUUAAAUUACUAUAUGUGCUUUAUAUCUUCCUUGAGCGGUGCUUGCGAUGUUUCCUAUGGUGUAUGCAUUUCGUGAGCAAUCUUUAUUUAGAAGGUAUUUCUAUGGGUUUGGAAGUUCUAGGGAUGAACUGCCAUUCAGAAGCUUUUCUUUGUUUCCUCUAGUAUAUAUAUCCAUUGUUUCCAUGAAAAGCAUGUGCCUCUCUUUGUCUAAAGGUCUGAUUAUUUUUGCUUGUUGCCAAUUUACUGUUAUAUCAUUCUCAAUAGCUGCCAAGGCUAGGGCUGUGUUAUUUUUCCCAUUUUUCUAAGUCCCUCUUAUUUUC
rnacentral:lncRNA from 1 species